UCCUACGGGAGGCAGCAGUAGGGAAUAUUGCUCAAUGGGGGAAACCCUGAAGCAGCAACGCCGCGUGGAGGAUGAAGGUUUUAGGAUUGUAAACUCCUUUUGUUAGAGAAGAUUAUGACGGUAUCUAACGAAUAAGCACCGGCUAACUCCGUGCCAGCAGCCGCGGUAAUACGGAGGGUGCAUGCGUUACUCGGAAUCACUGGGCGUAAAGAGUGCGUAGGCGGGGUAAUAAGUCACAUGUGAAAUCCUGUAGCUUAACUACAGAACUGCAUUUGAAACUGUUACUCUGGAGUGUGGGAGAGGUAGGUGGAAUUCUUGGUGUAGGGGUAAAAUCCGUAGAGAUCAAGAGGAAUACUCAUUGCGAAGGCGACCUGCUGGAACAUUACUGACGCUGAUGCACGAAAGCGUGGGGAGCAAACAGGAUU
rnacentral:rRNA from 1 species